rnacentral:lncRNA from 1 species
AGAGAAGUUCCAGAAAAAACCCAUAUGCACCAUUUUGUAAUAAACUUCAGCACCUUCUAAUUUUCGUAGCUCCGACCCCACUCAACUCUAAUAAACACCAACUUUAUCUUUUGACUUGUUUUAUAAAAAUAUAAUUCCCGGCCCAAGAAUUUGGGUUUGGUCAGCCUAACUAAACCCACUCAGGUAGCUGUUGAAAUUUUGAGCACCAC